rnacentral:rRNA from 1 species
UACGAAGGACCCGAGCGUUAUCCGGAUUUAUUGGGUUUAAAGGGUGCGUAGGCGGACACGCAAGUCAGUGGUGAAAUCCCUCAGCUUAACUGAGGAACUGCCAUUGAAACUAUGUGUCUUGAGUACAUUUGAGGCGGGCGGAAUGUGUCAUGUAGAGGUGAAAUUCUUAGAUAUGACACAGAACACCAAUGGCGAAGGCAGCUCGCUGAGCUGUAACUGACGCUGAGGCACGAAAGCGUGGGGAUCAAACAGG